CAUAUCAAUAAGCGGAGGAAAAGAAACCAACAGGGAUUGCCCCAGUAACGGCGAGUGAAGCGGCAACAGCUCAAAUUUGAAAUCUGGCCCUCGGGUCCGAGUUGUAAUUUGUAGAGGAUGCUUUUGGCGAGGUGCCUUCCGAGUUCCCUGGAACGGGACGCCAUAGAGGGUGAGAGCCCCGUCUGGUCGGACACCGAGCCUCUGUAAAGCUCCUUCGACGAGUCGAGUAGUUUGGGAAUGCUGCUCAAAAUGGGAGGUAUAUGUCUUCUAAAGCUAAAUACUGGCCAGAGACCGAUAGCGCACAAGUAGAGUGAUCGAAAGAUGAAAAGCACUUUGAAAAGAGGGUUAAAAAGUACGUGAAAUUGUUGAAAGGGAAGCGCCUAUGACCAGACUUGCGCCCGGUGAAUCAUCCAGCGUUCUCGCUGGUGCACUUUGCCGGGCACAGGCCAGCAUCAGUUUGGCACGGGGGAAAAAGGCUUCGGGAAUGUGGCUCCCUCGGGAGUGUUAUAGCCCGCUGCGUAAUACCCUG
rnacentral:rRNA from 1 species